GAAAGAAAAGUUUUUUGUGUCGUGCGCUCAAACUUGGCCACCCACCAGUAGGCGAUGAUGCAGAGUGCAGAGGCGACUUCAUGAAAGCAAGUAACAUAGCGCGAGCUCCGAAGAUGAUUAUACUUGGAUUCAAGUAUUGUGUUUUUGAUACAAUCGUGAAAACGAGAAGGGCAGCAUGUAAGGUUCCUAACUCAAAGAUAAGAAACACAACAACUAUGACCUACCGCAAAAAGAGAAAAGGUUAUUGACACCAGUGAUGAAGAAUAUGGGACCAUAUCGGCUGCUCAUUCAGUGCUUAAGCCGAGGUUGGAGCCACCAUUGUUGGGGCGACAUUGGACAAAGGAAUAGAUGGAGCUGGAGGUAGUCCCGCAUCGGUAUCAUUCAGUGGUGAAGUCGAAGUUGGAGUAACCAUUGUCAUUGUCCAUUGGGCGAUGGAGUCGAUGGAGCUGGGACAGCAGGCGAGCCGCUACCAUCAGCACCACCACACGAGAGGAAAUCACUUUAUCGAGCCACCGAGAAUUGCAGCCAGUGAAAAAGCACGUUUCAUCAACCUCUUGCACUGUGCCAGCAAAUCGCGACUGUGUGUAAUGUUUACUGGUCGAACCAGAGACUGUUAAGCCCUGGGACUGGAAAAGUGUUCAAUUCUAUGUUUGCAACUGCAAUACAAACAGGAAAACAAAAAAAGCUUUCUGAAUAAUGUGAAACAAUGUCAAUAAAAAUUCGAUUCAAUGCAA